AAACAUUUUGGAAGAAUGGCAAUGCCAAUGUCUAGCUACUCACAGAUACUCCAUAUUUCAACGCGAGUCCUUGCAACGUCUCUCCUGGCUGAACUUGGUGUUCAAUUCGUCUUUGUCGUACCGGAGAAAGAAACGGCGUGUUGCAGAACUCCUGUCCAAUUUCAUUCCAGAGGAUGAGGUAGCCUUGAUGAAAAAUGGAAGGAAGCCAUAUCAAAACCAUCUAUGAAGGCUGAAUGUGCCUACACUAAUCCUUUCUGUGCCAGGGAUGAAGUGGUUUUAUGGAAAGAAAACUCAACUGAAAAAUGAGAUAUCUUAACGAAACCAGGAAAACUAUGUUCAAGCUGAAGAUAGCCGACAGGAACCCUCUAGUUCUGCCCCCCUGUUGACACAGACACGUAAACUCACCCACCACGCCUUAUGAAGACUGUGCUAUACAACAUUUGGCACAAAAAGACCAGACUGUGACAUCAGCCCCUCCAGCACAAGACUAUCAUCACCACAUCAAACGUCAAUGGACAAUGAUAAGACAUAAUGUCAUUACCCAGUUCCAACAGUAAUACACCAGUCAAUCAGGGAUCGUGUCUAAUUGUGAGAAAUAAGGAAGUGUGUAAGGAGGAGUCAGCCAACGGCGACACAGGAGUCGGAACCUAUGACAGCUCAAAGGAGGAGCAUUACCUUACAUUGAAAAGUGCGGGACGACUGCAGGACAGGAGUGACCCGUGGGUAAAGGAUGAGAAUGUGGAAUUGGAUUCAGAUGAAGAGGAACCCUCAUCCCUCCCAUCCUCCCACUGACUCAGAGGGCUGACCAGAUGAGCAGCAGGGACCAGACCUCAACGCCAGCACCUUCCCAAAAUCCCUAGCCCUUUCCUCAAACCCUGCUGCUGACACAAAAGUCCCAUUUGGACAUAAAUCUGUUGACUCAACAAUUAUGAAUGGCACUCUGUUGCAGUACUGACAACACUAGAAGAGCAGCACUAGAACAUCUUGAACUGCCUCCAUGCUUCCUUUGUUUACUCUAUCUCAGGGUAGACACAUUGGUGCUUGAGACAAUGCUUUGACUGUUGUCACCCUGCGAGGGGUGGGAAGGGGGACGAUUCUCAGCACCCUUUGUGUUAUUCCGUUCGCCCAUUUUAUUUAGGUCCAACACCUCCCCUGUUAAGGCUAAGCUGUGAGCAUACCAUAAAUCAUCAGCAGAUAGGACAAUAUUACUGCUAAUCUUGGUAGUGUAACCACCGGUUAACAUUCUUCAGAAGGUUCUCAUUUGUGGCUCACCCCUAGACCACUCUAUAUAUUGGAUAACCCCCCCCCCCCUAGAGAAAGCGAGCGUGCGGACGUAACGUGGGUUAGUUUCAAACGAUGACGUUAAAAUGUGGCAAACUGAGUACCUGAUUAUUAUUUGUGAGCUCAUUGCGUGACUGCCACAAGGCGUUUGGAAUGUUUGUUGACUGCAUCGACACAGGAGCUCAACUGUCUUGUGUGUCAUCAAGGCUGAUGAUGUUAUGGAGUUAAAUUGUCAAUGCAAUAAGUCAUGUUGACUCUAUCAUGUUACUUAUACUUUCAGAUGACUAAACAAAACAAUUGUCCUCCACUGCUAACAAUGUCUGUUUGAAUAACCCAGAUACAAGGGAGUAAAAUAAAGCACCACUUAACUUAGAACUGUAUACCAGGUCAGUCACUAAAUACCUUGCAUGGUACCCUACAUAACUAUAAAUACACAUGCACUUUACUGUGGCUGAAUGAUCAAAGGGGAAUAAAUAACCCUGGGAAUAGCAUCUGGUAUGGCAAUACUGACCUUAAGUCAUGACAAGCCUGGUCCCUGUGCCAUUUCUUUACAAGAAAUUCUGAAGGUUGCUUAAAUUGAGCAUGAUAAUCAAAACGCAUUGCUUAAUACAGGUAUAAAAUGAAUGUGUACAUGUAAAAUGGAGCCACUCCAAUGCUGUGAAAAUCCUCAGAGGUUAGCAGCUGUUUGGUGAGGGUUCAUGAAUCUCCUUGGGUGCAUAUGGGUGCCCCCUCCCCUUCAGACCCUUUAAAAGUUGAUAUAUUCUGAGCAGGGUAACUCAAACCCAGAGGACUAGGUUACAUACCCAAUAGAGGGGGGUAAAAAUAGGUUGGGGUUGGGGGGGAUCCGGCGGGCUCAAUGAGGUAUUGAAUAGUUACGAUUCUCACGAUCUCGGAGCACACAGUGUACUCUUGUAUCUGCUCGCAUCUUGUACCUUGUGUCAGCUCUGAAUUUUGAACCAUAAACAUUAUGAAUGUUGAAAUGGCAAAAAUAUCACAUUCAGCCCAUUAAAACAAUGAAUUAUUUAAAUGUUUAUUAAAUGUAUUUACAGAUAUUUUCCUAGAUAUAGCACCACUACCAUGUAGGAGUUUUAUCACCUCCAUUUUCGGAGUAUUAUCAUGGCGUACUCUAGAAGCAUAAAUGACACUUUACAACAA